CGACUGCCGUUCCUUUCUGAAUCCUGAGUUGUGGACUUGGAGAUUUUAGGCUGUCGUAAAAUAAAGUUGCCUUUUUCACUCGGGAGUGUGUGUGGUGGGUUGGCUGCCUCUCCUCACUUCUGAAUUUUGCAGGGCAAGACAAAC